UUUCCGUAGGUGAACCAGCGGAAGGAUCAUUAUUGUAUAACCGAGGCGCGAGGGCUGUCGCUGACCCGAAAGGUCGUGCACGCCCGAGUGCCCUCACACACAUCCAUCUCACCCCUAUGUGCACCACCGCGUGGGUCCCCCUUUGGCUUGUUCGGAGGGGGGCUUACGUUUUCACACAAACUUUGUAUGCAGUGUAGAAUGUAUUUUUUGUUUUUGCGAUCACGCAAUCAAUACAACUUUCAACAACGGAUCUCUUGGCUCUC
rnacentral:misc_RNA from 1 species